GACGAGCUCUCCGAACGUUAUUCGGUAUCACUGGGCUUAAAGAGUUCGUAGGCGGUCUGGUAGGUGAGGUGUGAAAUCCCCCGGCUCAACCGGGGAACUGCGCUUCAAACCACCGGACUUGAGGGAGACAGAGGUGGGCGGAACAGAUGGUGGAGCGGUGAAAUGCGUUGAUAUCAUCUGGAACACCAGUGGCGAAGGCGGCCAACUGGUCCGGUACUGACGCUGAGGUGCGAAAGCGUGGGGAGCAAACAGG
rnacentral:rRNA from 1 species